CGAGAGGAUCUAAUUUGCAGGGUGCAUACGAUUUAGGUCCAGAGAUCAUCUUAACUGAGUUUGACUUGUCCUGCAUACAUUAGAUUCGACCAAUAAAAUCAAGCAAACUCGAAUUAUUUUUAAUAAUGCAAUGAUGAAGGGAAACACAUUUUCUUAUGUUUAAAUUUAAAAUGUGCCUAAAAAUAAUAAUAAGUGCUAUAUAAAAUAGAUAACUUAAUUCAUUAUUUAGCACUUAUCACACCCCCAACCUACAUUUUGCUAGUCCUCGAGCAAAAUAAAAACUCACUUUCGCAGGCAUCGCGAUUGCAUUUACCGUAUGCAAUAAGGCUUUACACCCCUAGGUGGCUCUAGUGGACGAGUUUUGUCUCGUGAGGGUUUUCGGUGCAGCUACCCACAAACUGCUGUCGAAAGAAUUUAUUUUAUUGUUUUAUAAAAUUUAAUUUCAAAUGCCUUAAUGUCAAGAAUUUCAAAAGCACACAGUUUUAAUUACUAAGUCAGCCCAAAUCCUAGGUCAGUAUGCAACUUAAGUUGAAGUCAUUAAGUUUCAGUUAGAGAGUUGUAAGGCGUAUUUAUACUUGGGUGCUCGGUGAAAUCUGGACCAUACACGAGCUAAGACUUUCGGUUCCCCAAAAUACUGCUAAAGCUAGUAGUUUCCAAGAAUUGGUCAGAUAAGACCUAUUCACUGAUUCAAAAUCAUCAUAUCUUGCAAGAUUUCGAGAGUUGUGGAUGUUUACUUUAAUACCUCAUGGGCUUUAUCUGUAAUAUUCCAGUUUACUCAAAUUUUUACAACAACGGCUUUCACACUAUCGUCUUUUUCAAGGUCAAUAUUAUUUUCUCUUUCUCUUUUUAUUUUUUAUU
rnacentral:lncRNA from 1 species